GAAAUCCCGACACCGACGGAUUCCUGAUCCACAUGGGAAACACGAACAGGGUCCUGCAGGUGGACGUGGAGAAGCGGCAGGUGACGGUGGAAGGCGGGAUCCUCCUCUCCGAGCUCAACCGGGAGCUGGACAAGCACGGCCUGGCCCUGCAAAAUUUAGGGGCCGUGUCCGAGGUGUCGGCGGCCGGAGUCAUCGGCACCGGGACCCACAACACCGGGAUCACCCAUGGAAUUCUACCCACCCAGGU